rnacentral:rRNA from 1 species
GAUGAACGCUGGCGGCGUGCCUAAUACAUGCCAGUCGAGCGAACAGACGAGGAGCUUGCUCCUCUGACGUUAGCGGCGGACGGGUGAGUAACACGUGGAUAACCUACCUAUAAGACUGGGAUAACUUCGGGAAACCGGAGCUAAUACCGGAUAAUAUAUUGAACCGCAUGGUUCAAUAGUGAAAGACGGUUUUGCUGUCACUUAUAGAUGGAUCCGCGCCGCAUUAGCUAGUUGGUAAGGUAACGGCUUACCAAGGCGACGAUGCGUAGCCGACCUGAGAGGGUGAUCGGCCACACUGGAACUGAGACACGGUCCAGACUCCUACGGGAGGCAGCAGUAGGGAAUCUUCCGCAAUGGGCGAAAGCCUGACGGAGCAAUGCCGCGUGAGUGAUGAAGGUCUUCGGAUCGUAAAACUCUGUUAUUAGGGAAGAACAAAUGUGUAAGUAACUAUGCACGUCUUGACGGUACCUAAUCAGAAAGCCACGGCUAACUACGUG